GUCACGAUCCGCUUAUUGCGGGGUGUCGUGAUGGUUCUUUUCACCGAUCCCAAAAGUGCAAAAAGGCAAACAACAAGGGACUAUCAGUUAAUCACAACAAAUGCACCUUUAUUAGGGGCCAAAACAGUAAAUGUGAUAGUGGGGUUAAGAAAGGAGUUAAAAGGAUAGAGAGAGAGAGAGAAGAGGGGUAUGGGAAUAGCUACCAACACAGGCGAGAUCCUCAGUGGUCCGGACGAUGGGGAUCCGUCUGUCGUGUCGGGGAAGUCUCCGAAGUUCUGGUCGACUUGGGGGUCCAGUUAUAGUCCACAGAGGAAAGAGGGGGGAACAAGUGUAACAAUGAAAGUCCAUUGUAAUCGCCACGAGGGAACAGGUGAGUCCACAGAAACCACCAAAGCAAGACGAAUCCAAUGAAGAAUAAGUCCAUUAAAAUUACUGAAGGGAAACAGGUCAUGUCAUUAGUGGUCAGACCACCAAUUUCCCCUCCUCCCUGUAGUAGGGGUCUCAGUCUCAGUCCUUGGGAGGAGGGUUCUCAUUCUUUGUCUGUCACAGUGGUAACGAGGCAGAUGAGGGGUCUUCAAUGAAGGACCACGGGAGUCACCCCAAAAGUUCAUUUGGCUUAAGAACGGAGAUUAGAAGCAGGCUGCGCAUCAGGCUGUCCCGUGCUGGGUCCAUGUCAGGUCCUUGCCAAGUCCUUGCCAACUCCUUGCCAAGUUCUUGCCAGCCCUUGUUCGGAAUAGCCAGCGUGACGGUUCAGUGGUUGCACCUGCGCUGUGUCCUGUUCUAAGCCGGAACUGCAGUGGAGGAAGGGAUUCUUUCUCGCGGCAAUCGGAAGGCAGAAUGGAAAAUGAGGGGCUUCAGACGGGCUCUUACACAUGGGAGACACGUCCCGAAACCUGGGAGUGGCUGCACGGGGUGCCCAUGGUGGGGAGAGGGCAGAGAUGGAGAGCAAGGCUCCCGUGUGUCCUGACAGGGCCUGACUCUGUCCCCUGGGGUUGGGGGAGCUGUCACAGGGCAGGGAGGGCCAGGGCUGGCAGGGGCUGCUCAGGGAUGGGUUUGGCCCGUGUCCCUCGAAGCAGCGACUGCCCAAGCAGCUGCGCUGGCCCCGGGCUCUCCUCCCGGCCUGCUGGGCUUUGUUGGGUGGCACAGCCUGUGCCAAGGGGCGGCAAGGGGCCUGCAGGCCCCAGCUCUGGGGGAAACAGAGAACGUCCUGGCCGUAUCCACUGUGCUGCCAGCUCGGCAGUGCAGCACAGCACGGGCUCACGCUCCCCAUUGCUCCCACAGACGUUAUCACUGAAACAGGAAUAUUUGCCCCGGAUCCAGUGCGCCUCCCAAGAAUUGUCUGCCCCCAGGAUGUGCGCAGGUCCUGCAUGAUAGGCACGGUGGUGACACUGUUCACCGUGCCCCUCGUGCUGAUCAGCUGCUAUCUUGGCAUUCGGAAGCUGUACCAGAGCAGACGUGCUUUUUCCAGUUAUUUGAGAUAGUGAAUGAUGGCUGGACCAUCGAGGAUCUCGUCUCGACGGUGGUAGCUCUAUUCCCCUUCCUCUCUUUUCUCUCUAUUUCCCUUUUCUGUCCCUUCUAUCGCAUUUGCUGUUGGUACCUAAAUAAAGAUGCAUUUGUUGUGAUUCAA